ACCCCGUAGCAGAUAAAGACCGCAUCACUUUCAACUCAGCUGUGAAGCUCAAGAAACCUCUGAAGUGAACCAUCUGCCCAGAACAUUCUGAAUCCUUCCAAGAGCCAUUAAGAA